rnacentral:rRNA from 1 species
ACAUACGACCACAGGGUGUGGAAAACAGGGCUUCCCGUCCGCUCAGCCGUACUUAAGCCACACGCCGGUGAGUUAGUAGUUGGGUGGGUGACCACCAGCGAAUCCUCACUGUUGUAUGUUUUGUUUUUGUUUUUUGUUUUAACUA